GCUGCCUCCGUGCCCUCACUUGCCCGCUUCCGCCCGUCGCGCGAGAUCUCGCGACACCUCGCGUUCCUCGCGCAGCCGCACGACGGCGAAUCUCGCGAGCGGCGAGGAGGCAGGUGGGAGCCGGGCGGGGGCGGUGUAAUCUCGCGAGAGCUGAGCCGCCCCGCCCGGGCCCCGCUCCCCCCGGCGCCCCGCUCCCCUCCCCGCAGAGCUAAUAUGGUCGCCGGCGAUGGACGCUCUCAGGCCAGGAAGCCCUUACCAGCCCAUAAUUGAAGAACUAAGAAACUAUCCACAAAAGAGGUUCUACAAUGUCUCAAAGCUUGGAGGCACCAAGUAUGAUAUUCUGCCUUAUUCCAUACGAGUGUUGUUUGAAUCCAGCAUCCGUAACUGUGAUGGCUUCUUGGUGAAAGAAACAGAUGCUAUGAACAUUUUAGACUGGAAAACAAAGCAGAACGAUGUCGAAGUGCCCUUCUGUCCUGCCAGAGUUGUUCUUCAAGAUUUUACUGGAAUUCCAGCAAUGGUGGAUUUCGCUGCCAUGAGAGAAGCAGUAAGAAAUGCUGGAGGAGAUCCUGUGAAAGUCAAUCCUGCCUGCCCAACUGAUCUCACUGUUGACCAUUCUCUGCAGAUUGAUUUCAGCAAAUGUGCAAUACAGAAUGCCCCAAACCCUGGAGGUGGUGAGACGCAGAAGCCGACAGCAAAGCUUUCUCCGCUGAAGGGACAGCCGCGGAAACUGCCGUGCCGGGGUCAGAGCAGCUGCAAGGGGCCCUGCAGUGCUGGGGAGCUGAGCCGUGCCUCGGGGCAGUUCUCUGCACAGAUAGAGAACACACCUAUCCUCUGCCCUUUUCACCUUCAGCCAGUGCCUGAGCCUGAGACAGUAUUGAAAAAUCAAGAGAUGGAAUUUGGCAGAAAUAGAGAGAGGCUUCAGUUUUUUAAGUGGAGUUCAAAAGUCUUCAAGAAUACUUCCAUAAUACCACCAGAGACUGGAAUGGCACACCAGGUUAAUUUGGAGUAUCUAUCAAGAGUUGUAUUUGAUGUGAAAGAUUUCUUAUAUCCAGAUAGCGUGGUUGGCACAGAUUCUCAUACAACCAUGGUAAAUGGCUUGGGUAUCUUGGGCUGGGGUGUUGGGGGAAUUGAAACAGAAGCUGUGAUGCUGGGGAUGCCGGUUACUCUCACUCUGCCUGAGGUGGUUGGGUGUGAACUGACAGGCACAGCCAGCCCACUUGCUACAUCCAUAGACAUUGUUCUGGGCAUUACAAAGCAUCUUCGGCAAGCUGAAGUCGCUGGAAAAUUUGUUGAGUUCUUUGGGAGUGGAGUUUCCCAGCUGUCUGUGGCAGAUCGAACCACAAUAGCAAAUAUGUGUCCUGAAUACGGUGCUAUUCUGAGCUUUUUCCCUGUUGAUAAUGUGACGUUGAAGCACUUAAAGCAUACAGGUUUCGAUGAGGCCAAGCUUGAGGUUAUGGAAGCAUAUCUUAAAGCUGUGAAGCUAUUUAGAAAUGAUGAGAGUUCUUCCAGAGAACCCGAGUAUUCCCAGGUAGUGCAAAUUAGUUUAAGUUCUAUAAUUCCUCAUGUCAGUGGUCCCAAGAGAUCCCAAGAUAGAGUGGCUGUCAAUAACAUGAAAAGUGACUUCCAAACCUGCUUAAACGAAAAGGCUGGUGUGAAAGGGUUUCAGAUUGCAGCUGAAAAACAGAAUGACGUUGUACCUGUUCAGUAUGAAGGAAACCAAUACGAGCUCUCUCAUGGCUGUGUUGUCAUUGCUGCAGUAAUCAGCUGUACAAAUAACUGCAAUCCAUCUGUCAUGCUCGCUGCAGGACUCCUGGCCAAAAAGGCAGUUGAAGCUGGCCUAGAGGUGAAGCCCUACAUAAGAACUAGUCUGUCACCAGGCAGCGGAAUGGUUACACAUUACCUCAGUUCCAGUGGAGUAUUACCAUACCUCAGUAAGCUUGGGUUUGAGGUUGUUGGUUAUGGAUGUUCAACGUGUGUUGGAAAUACUGCUCCUCUUCCAGAAGCCAUCAGGAAUGCAAUAAAGCAGGGUGAUAUCAUUGCCUGUGGAGUGCUGUCUGGAACAAAGAACUUUGAAGGACGUCUGUGUGACUGUGUCCGUGCCAACUACCUUGCUUCUCCCCCACUUGUAGUUGCAUAUGCUAUUGCAGGCACUGUUAGAAUAGACUUUGAGACUGAGCCUUUGGGCACUGGCUUUAAUGGCAGAAGUAUCUACUUAAGGGAUAUUUGGCCCACGCGGAAAGAACUACACACAGUGGAGGAAGAGUGUGUGAUAUCAUCUAUGUUUAAGGAAUUGAAAGAAAAAAUGGAGAAAGGAAACAAACGAUGGAAUUCACUGGAAGCACCUGAGUCACCUUUAUUUCCCUGGGACUUGAAAUCCACUUAUAUCAGAUGUCCUUCCUUCUUUGAUAAACUUGCCAAAGAACCGGUUUCCCCGCAGCUGAUUGAAAAUGCCCAUGUCUUGCUCUAUUUGGGAGAUUCUGUAACCACAGAUCAUAUAUCUCCUGCUGGAAGCAUUGCAAGGAGCAGUGCAGCUGCUAAGUACCUGACUAACAAAGGACUCACACCUCGUGAAUUCAACUCGUAUGGGGCUCGACGGGGUAAUGAUGCUGUGAUGACAAGGGGUACAUUUGCUAAUAUCAAGCUUCUGAACAAGUUCAUAGGAAAACCAGCUCCUAAAACAAUUCACUUUCCAUCAGGACAAACGCUAGAUGUGUUUGAAGCAGCGGAAUUGUACCAGAAAGAAGGCAUUCCUGUAAUUAUUUUAGCAGGAAAGAAGUAUGGACUGGGCAGCUCAAGAGACUGGGCAGCAAAAGGGCCUUUUCUACUGGGUGUUAAAGCUGUCCUAGCUGAAAGCUAUGAAAAAGUCCAUAAAAGUCAAUUGAUUGGAAUUGGCAUAGCUCCACUUCAGUUUCUUCCUGGAGAAAAUCCAAGUACUUUGGGUCUCACUGGCAGAGAGCAGUUCUCUAUAUUAUUCCCUCCAGAGCUGUCGCCCAAAAUGACUUUGGAUAUUAAGACAAGCACUGGAAAAGUGUUCAGCGUGUUUGCCUUGUUUGACAACGAUGUGGAGAUAACUUUAUACAAAAAUGGUGGAAGCCUAAACUUUGUGGCUCGAAGAUUCUUAUAGUAGCUACUGACUGUAUGGGUACCUCGCACUAACUGGUAACUCUGAAAAUGCCUUGUGUGAACCCAGGAAUCUGUACUGUGGAACUGCAGACAGCCCUAGUGUGCUCUAAGUUACUUUGUCCAUGGAUGUAAAAGAUUGUGAAUCAUUGUAACUGCAGCAAGAUCCUUCCUGAUUUUAAAUAAUAUUCUAAUGGUGCUAUUAAACAUUGCUAAAAUCGACGUGUGUUGUGGCAGAGAGAGCUAUGGAGAACUGAUCAAUCCAUGAAGUGCUGUGGGCUAUAGAAGUACGAUGUUUUUGUGGGCAACAUCUCUGCUUGUAAGAGAAUGCCCACAGUACAUGGCUGGUGUUGAAGUGCAGCCCCCUAGCGUACUGGUAAGCUGCAGUGUCCUUCAGUUGAGAACUCUGUCAUAUCUUCCUUAAGCUUGUCCUUUGUAGCGUUGGUUUUUACUGUAUUGACUGAUAUCACCUGCCAGAGAACUUCCCUCAGUAUUUUAACCUUUAAGAAUUUGUAUUAGAACUCUUUAAUUACUCUGCUUUAUGUGCAGCCUAUGUCUAAUCAGUUACACUUGUCACAUGUUAAAUUGCUGAGGUAGCCAUGCUGCCUUUUAAUGCUUUGGAAUGUUUGGAAGAGCUGCAAACUAGAAAACAGGCAUCAGAUUCCCCUGCUGGAGAUUGCAGAAUACUGAACAGAUUUGGUUCUUGGCCACUGCAGCUCCACUAAAUCUAAUUAUGAGCAUAUUGCUUAUAAAAACUGUUUUGUAUUUAACAUUAAUGGAAGAUGCACAGUUUCUGCAGAAAUGCUUUUGUUUCACCACUUAGCUUAAUCACUGAGAGCUUCUAAUCUGUGUUGGUUUUCUUUACUGAUAGCUUCAGGUAUUUCUGUGCUCCUGUAUCUUGAACAGCUUCACGAUUCCACUCAUGUUUAUAGAGUGAUGGAUUGCUUUUGGAGGACAAAGCUGCAGAAACUUGCCUAUGAAUUGUCAAGAUUUUGCUUUCAGAUUUUUGAUCUUGAUAAAUGUUGUCUUAAAUGUCCUAACUUGCCAGAAGACUCCAUUAGUUUUACUGUGUAUGCCUUCAGUCUAUAACCAGAUGCUAAGCCAGCUGACGUGCAAACCAACAUGUGCACCAUUGGCAUCCUGAAAUAGUAUGGUUAUGACAUGCCUAAAAAUCUGAAAAAUCCUGACACAGUUAUAUCAGUACAACAUAAUUUUGAGACAGUUCAGCUGCAAACUUCAGUUCCUUUGGCAUAGUUCUGAUACCUUUCUUCUUUUACUGGACAAAAUUCCAUAAGGUUUGGAAUUCUGUAUAACCUGUUCCAAUAAUUUUGCUGUGUUUUUCUUUUAGCUGGGAAAAACUAUUCCAGUGACUCAUACCACUGAUAUGGGUAAUAAAUCAAUGCGUUUUCUAAUACUGUAUUCAACUGAAUGCUGAAUGAUUUUCUGUUCUGUGGUACAAUCUGGUAAUUUUAUCAAGAAUUGAGAUUUUACUACUUGUCUAACAGCAUCUAAUACUUCUUUUCCAGCUCAAAGGUGUAUUCAUAAUUGAAGAAAGUGCAUGUUCAUUACUAAGGAACAAAUCUGACUUUAGAGCUGACGCAUAAUGAUGCUUUGUGCAGGAGAUCAGUGAAGUACAGCUGCAAGGCUAUCUAAAAUACUUGUGCAACUGCUAGAGCUUGAGUGGGGCACAGCCUCCUGCCCUCCCAGUGCAGUGACGCUCCUUGCCUCAGAAGGAGACAGUGAUCCAAGCCAUGUCAAGGUAAACCAGUAUUGUGAAGUGCAAUUUCAAGGGCUGUGACUUAGAGUUAUUGCCACCAAUACUCAUCUCUUAAGAAGUGUGACGGUUUCAUUACCAUAGCAACUACUUAAAGUCUGCUGCACUCCUAUGCCUUAAUAUCAGUGAAAGACAGCUCCAAGUGCAGAUGCUGUCAACCUGGAGGCUCCUGCUAUUGUUGCUGCUUGGGUCAUCUCCCAGCCACACCAACAUCCAUAGCAUCUUUGUGACUUGUGCAGACUGACUCCCACCUUUAAGACAUGUAUGCCUGAAGGUGGUAGGUGCUGAGGGGAACAGCACUGCUUAUGUACCCAUCUCUUGCUUCUCACCCAGUAGUGAGCUGCCCUGAUCCAUGGUCGUGUGCCUGCCCCCCUCCCCUCGUGCAGCAGGGAGCGCCAUCAGGUCGAGUCAGUAGCUUGACAGUGAAGGCAGGACGCUGAACUUUGAGCUCACUGCUAGGAUUGUGUAAGCUUGAGAUGGGCAGCAGUGAAGCCUGCUUCUGGCAGUGACAGGAUACAAUGCAGGCAGAGGAUUGCUGUGAUCACACACAAAAAGCAUUGUUCAAUUAGACUUUCUAGUAUCUUAAAGCAUAGGAGAAAAUACUCCUGUUUGAAGAAGUGACUGUGUUAGAUGUAUUUAACCUAGAAUUCUGUCUCCAGUUUGAUUUGGAGAAGAAUAUUCCAGUUUUUCUAAACAUUUACUCUUUGUGCCCUCCCAAAUGACCAAGCUUUGGGAUAGUGUUGAUGUUUAUACAUUUUACACCUAAGUUUAAGGACAUGAAAUUCUGUAUAUUAAUCGUAUUUAAGCAACUGCAAAUCAAUGUCUGCUGUUCAAAGCCAACAAAAGAGUUGAAGUUUUAAGUUCAGUGUGUAUUGUAUAGAUAUCUUACCAGAAGUUCAGCUGAUGACAAUUGUGCAUAAAAUGUUACUGAUACUGUAAAUUAUUUUUAAUAAAGAAAAUUGUAUCACAGUUCUUGUAUGUCACCAUGUAUUUUGAAUAGGAGGCAUGGACUGAUACUAGCAUGGCACUGGUAAGAAUGUAUAUGAAGUUGGGGGGAACAAGGAAAAGGGUGCAAUUGUGCAUUCAUUGGAUUUGCUCAGUAGGAGCAUCUCUCUCAUGGAUUCCCCAGCGUGCUUUAUUGGUUUAGAAGGAAACUUUCUGUGUUAGCUGAGCUCUGGAUAUUCUGUCAGUAAUUUGUGUAUUUUUCUUCAGCAAAAUAUCUGCUCUCAUUUAGAAUGUAGAUCAGGCAGGCUCCUGGUUUGGGUUACAUUUUAUGGCAGGUAGUGGUAGGAUCUGCAGAAAUCGAUGAGGGUUUGUCUGACAGCUGCCCAUUCUCUACACCUCCCUUUUAGACCCGGCACAAGACUUGCAUCCACCACAUCUGCUCAAUUAUUUGUUUCCGUAGCGAUAGGAGAGGCACAAACCACCUUCCCUGUUUCGGCCCACCACUGCAGCGCCGUGGCUCUGUAACACCGCAGCUGUGUGUCACGUUCUGCGCUGGCUGUAACCCGGGGCGCGUUUUAAGUCAGGCACGGCCAGAAAGCUGUUUUGUUUCAGACCGACUGAAUGCCAGGAGCCGGAGGCGAUGUCAGUAACCGCAGAGCCCUUUGCAUCGCGGCUCAGCCCUGCUGUUUGCUCGCAGUUCCGCCCGCCCUUCGCUCCGAGCGUUCGGGGCUCGGCCCGUAGCAGCGGUGCCGGCAGCCCCGAGCCGGACUCGCUGCUGGCCGAAGGCAGCUUCGGUUAGGGUAAAUAAUCGAGGCAGAGGGGCCCGCUUUGUUCCGUGCUCGUACCGCACGCAGCCCUGUUGUGCGGCCGGUAGGCGCUUCGUUGCCGGCGGG